GCAGUGGGGAAUAUUGCACAAUGGGCGCAAGCCUGAUGCAGCGACGCCGCGUGAGGGAUGAAGGCCUUCGGGUUGUAAACCUCUUUCAGUAGGGAAGAAGCGAAAGUGACGGUACCUGCAGAAGAAGCGCCGGCUAACUACGUGCCAGCAGCCGCGGUAAUACGUAGGGCGCAAGCGUUAUCCGGAAUUAUUGGGCGUAAAGAGCUCGUAGGCGGUUUGUCGCGUCUGCCGUGAAAGUCCGGGGCUUAACUCCGGAUCUGCGGUGGG
rnacentral:rRNA from 1 species